rnacentral:tRNA from 1 species
AGGGGUGUGGCUCAGCAGUAGAGCACUUGCCUCACACACACGAGACCCUGGGUUCGAUCCUCAGCAACACAU